CUGGCGUACAAGCCUGCACCUCCCUCAAAGCAAGCAUCUUGAAAAUUAACUCAGCUUUAAUGUGAAUUUAAAGUAUGAGCAAGACUGUCAGCUUACAGAUCGCAUUGCAAGCCUACCACAUGGGCAGAAGGAGACCAAAAAAUUGCUCAACUGCAAUUCUCUCACAUGGAAGAGGAC